rnacentral:rRNA from 1 species
CCUACGGGGGGCAGCAGUGAGGAAUAUUGCACAAUGGGGGAAACCCUGAUGCAGCAACGCCGCGUGAGUGAUGAAGGUUCUAUGGAUUGUAAACCUCUUUUAUAAGGGAAUAAAGUGUGGGACGUGUCCUAUUUUGUAUGUACCUUAUGAAUAAGGAUCGGCUAACUCCGUGCCAGCAGCCGCGGUAAUACGGAGGAUCCGAGCGUUAUCCGGAUUUAUUGGGUUUAAAGGGUGCGUAGGCGGCUUUUUAAGUCAGCGGUGAAAUGUUGGGGCUCAACCAUAGAAUUGCCGUUGAAACUGGGGAGCUUGAGUGUGUUUGAGGCAGGCGGAAUGCGUGGUGUAGCGGUGAAAUGCUUAGAUAUCACGCAGAACCCCGAUUGCGAAGGCAGCCUGCCAAGCCAUGACUGACGCUGAUGCACGAAAGCGUGGGGAUCAAACAGGAUUAGAUACCCGGGUAGUC